rnacentral:rRNA from 1 species
GACGAACGCUGGCGGCGUGCCUAAUACAUGCAAGUCGAGCGCAGGAAACUGACGGAACUCUUCGGAGGGAAGGCAGUGGAAUGAGCGGCGGACGGGUGAGUAACACGUAAGGAACCUGCCUCAAGGAUUGGGAUAACUCCGAGAAAUCGGAGCUAAUACCGGAUAGUUCAACGGACCGCAUGGUCCGCUGAUGAAAGGCGCCCCGGCGUCACCUUGAGAUGGCCUUGCGGUGCAUUAGCUAGUUGGUGGGGUAACGGCCCACCAAGGCGACGAUGCAUAGCCGACCUGAGAGGGUGAUCGGCCACACUGGGACUGAGACACGGCCCAGACUCCUACGGGAGGCAGCAGUAGGGAAUCUUCCACAAUGGACGAAGGUCUGAUGGAGCAACGCCGCGUGAGUGAUGAAGGUUUUCGGAUCGUAAAACUCUGUUGUAAGGGAAGAACACGUACGAGAGGGAAUGCUCGUACCUUGACGGUACCUUACGAGAAAGCCACGGCUAACUACGUGCCAGCAGCCGCCGUAAGAC